rnacentral:tRNA from 1 species
GUGCCUGUAGCUCAAUUGGAUAGAGCGUCUGACUACGGAUCAGAAGGUUUGGGGUUCGACUCCCUACAGGCACGCCA